rnacentral:rRNA from 1 species
GAGAGGAUGACCAGCCACACUGGAACUGAGACACGGUCCAGACUCCUACGGGAGGCAGCAGUGGGGAAUAUUGCACAAUGGGCGCAAGCCUGAUGCAGCCAUGCCGCGUGUAUGAAGAAGGCCUUCGGGUUGUAAAGUACUUUCAGCGGGGAGGAAGGGAGUAAAGUUAAUACCUUUGCUCAUUGACGUUACCCGCAGAAGAAGCACCGGCUAACUCCGUGCCAGCAGCCGCGGUAAUACGGAGGGUGCAAGCGUUAAUCGGAAUUACUGGGCGUAAAGCGCACGCAGGCGGUUUGUUAAGUCAGAUGUGAAAUCCCCGGGCUCAACCUGGGAACUGCAUCUGAUACUGGCAAGCUUGAGUCUCGUAGAGGGGGGUAGAAUUCCAGGUGUAGCGGUGAAAUGCGUAGAGAUCUGGAGGAAUACCGGUGGCGAAGGCGGCCCCCUGGACGAAGACUG